CUCUGGAUGCCGGUAACAGCCACUCAAGAUGGCGCAGUCUCCACGGCUGAGCCGGCGCACCGGGAGAGAUUUCAGCCGCAGUCUCCAACCGUCCCCUUUUUCCGGGAGUCCUCAUGUUUUAAAUAUU